GACGAACGCUGGCUGCGUGCUUAACACAUGCAAGUCGAACGCUGAAGCCAGAAGCUUGCUUCUGGUGGAUGAGUGGCGAACGGGUGAGUAACACGUGAGUAACCUGCCCCGGAUUUCAGGAUAAGCCUGGGAAACCGGGUCUAAUACCGGAUAUGACUCAUGAUCGCAUGGUUGUGGGUGGAAAGCCAGUUACAAUUGUUUCUGGCGGUGGGGGAUGGGCCCGCGGCCUAUCAGCUUGUUGGUGGGGUGAUGGCCUACCAAGGCGACGACGGGUAGCCGGCCGGAGAGGGCGACCGGCCACACUGGGACUGAGACACGGCCCAGACUCCUACGGGAGGCAGCAGUGGGGAAUAUUGCGCAAUGGGCGGAAGCCUGACGCAGCGACGCCGCGUGGGGGAUGACGGCCUUCGGGUUGUAAACCUCUUUCGGCCCCGACGAAGCGUGAGUGACGGUAGGGGUAGAAGAAGCACCGGCCAACUUCGUGCCAGCCGCCGCGGUAA
rnacentral:rRNA from 1 species